AAAGCCGUUAAAUGGGAAAGAAGCAAAUGGAAAAUGUUGUGACUUUUAUACAUGCACAAAAUUUACUGAGCAACAAUUUCACUCUGUGAGAUCCUUGCAGGGUUGCUGAGCAGCUGCUGCCUUCAAGAAGCUAACAUUUUCAUUGAAAAAACACCUAAGAAUUGGUAUUGGCCAGGAUCAUCUACAGGCUCCAAUAUUUGGAGAUCUUCCCAUGCUUAUAGCAGCACAACUCAUAACAGCUAUAUCUUGGAAGUAACCUACAUGUCCAUCAAUAGAUGAAUGGAUAAAGAAAAUGUGGUGUUUACACACAAUGGAGUACUAUAGCAGUCUGCUAAAAGAAGGUCACAGGUCAUGAGUGGCAGACAUCAUGUGAGCAGACAACCAUGACAGAGAGUGGUCUGGAACCUGUACCUGUGGUUGACCAACUGUAUGGCCUUAGACAAAAUAAAGCCCUUCAUUACUCUAAAUUUCAGCUUCCUCAUUUAUAAUACAGAGGCAAUAUCUACCUUUCACUGUUGCUGUGAUCAUUAAAGAUAAUUAGAUAGAAAACAUAAGUACAGAAAGUAGGCAUUUGAGUCAUUAGCUCUGUAGCAUUUGUACCCUUCAUUUAGUCACAUAGUCAUGUGACUAUUAAACCUCUGUUGGGCAGCAAGCAUAACUGGGCUAGAGAUUCCAUUUCCCCAUAAAGAGGAGAGAAGCAAAACCAAAUAAAGUGUCACUAAGGUGGAGCCCAUAGCCAUCUCACUAGCUUACAAUCCUUUUUUUUUUUUUUUUUUUUCCGGUAUAUUCAAGUCUGUGGCAUCUGUUGCCCCUGAAAAUAUUUCCAGUGUUCUUUGUUGGAGAGCAACUGAGUCUCUGAGGACAUCUCACCAAAGAGUGCUUGGUUUAGUGUCAGAAGCAGCUCCAUGCAGUUGUUAGACACUGUGAUAGUUGACUGUGAUCUUCCACUUGCCUAGAUUAAGGAAUGCCUAGCAGAUCAGUAAAGCACACUUCUGGCAUGUCUUCGAGGACAUGUCCAGAGAUGAUUGGCAUGUAGGCUGGCAAACUGAGGGAAAAAAAGACCCACCCUGAUUGUGGGUGGUUUCCUCCAAUAGUCUUACAGCCCAGAUGAAAUGGAAAGGAGGAAAAGGGGAAGUGGGGCUGCAUUGGAAAAGGUCCAUUUUGCUACAGCAGGUUCAUCUUUUGCUACUGCCAUUUCCCAUGGACAUCAGACUCCAGCUGUUUCAGCCUUUCAAUGCAGACUCACACCAGUGACUCUCCAGGGAGCUUCCAGGCCUUUGGUCUCAGACUGGCACUGCACCCUUAAUCUCUCUUGUUCUGUAGCUUUCAGCUUCUUUUGGAUUGGGCAGCAACUGGAUCCUCUGGCUCUCAGUGUGCAGACAGCCACUGUGCAUUCUCCUGCCUCUGAUUCUAUAAGUCUAACAAAUACCCUUCCAUAAUUAUACAUACAAAAAAAUAUUUCUUUUGAUUCUGAUCCUCUAGAGAUCCCUAACUAAUACAGACAUACACUAUGGAGCAGAAAUUCAAAAACAUGCUGCUUGAACUCAACUUUCAGCUGUGCCACUUCCUAGAUGAAUCAGUUCUUGAAUA
ensembl:lncRNA